rnacentral:rRNA from 1 species
GAUGAACGCUGGCGGUAUGCCUAAUACAUGCAAGUCGAACGGGGUUCAUAGUCACUUAGUGGCGGACGGGUGAGUAACGCGUGAGAAUUUGGCCUCAGGUCCGGGACAACCACGGGAAACGGUGGCUAAUACAGGAUGUGCUAUAUUGGUGAAAGAUUAAUUGCCUCAGGAUGAGCUCGCGACUGAUUAGCUAGUUGGUGGGGUAAAGGCUUACCAAGGCGACGAUCAGUAACUGGUCUGCGAGGAUGACCAGUCACACUGGUACUGAGACACGGCCCAGGCUCCUACGGGAGGGAGCAGUAGCGAAAUUUCCGCAAUGGGCGUAAGCCUGACGGGGCAAUGCCGCGUGAGAGAGGGAGACUCUUGGGUUGUAAACCUCUUUUCUCAGGGGAGAAGAAUGACGGUACCUGAGGAGUCAGCAUCGGCUAACUCCGUG